rnacentral:rRNA from 1 species
UACAGAGGUCCCAAGCGUUGUUCGGAUUCACUGGGCGUAAAGGGUGCGUAGGUGGUGAGGUAAGUCGGAUGUGAAAUCUCGGAGCUUAACUCCGAAAUGGCAUUGGAAACUACCUUGCUCGAGGGUUGGAGGGGGACUGGAAUACUUGGUGUAGCAGUGAAAUGCGUAGAUAUCAAGUGGAACACCAGUGGCGAAGGCGAGUCCCUGGACAACUCCUGACACUGAGGCACGAAAGCUAGGGGAGCAAACAGG